rnacentral:lncRNA from 1 species
UAUGUGUUCAUGAACAAAUUUAUCUUCUAUGUGAAUGUCUGUGAUCAUAUUAUUCUAAUUUGUAACUAUAUAUAGCCAAGUGACAUACGGUCACAGUUAACACAAAUCUAGUCACAGGGAGUCACAAUAAAAAUAGAUUUGGUCACUCAUCACCAUUCCCAACAUCGGCAACCAAACGUGCAAAAAUAUAUACGGUGCUUGCUUGUUAUUUAAUUGUGCAAAAAUAAUUUGAAACGCUGGCGACAUUAGCAUCUACAGCUGCAAAAUUAAAUCGGGUCCUUUCGGCCUGUAACGAGUUUCUGCCACAGAGAUUUGCCUCUGCCGCAACAAUCGAUCGAACCGUCGAUCAUGCUGUUGAGCCUGAGGUAAGUAGGAAAAUACUCGUGUAAAAUGGUUCAAAGCUUACUAUUUUAUGUUCUGAAUUCUUUUACUGUAUUAAACCUAGGAAGUAGAUGCAACGGAGGCGGUGUUUGGAUGAAAAUAUGAGGCACUUACCAUAGAAAGAAUUAAUCAAAGAACCAUAUGUGGCUCUAAAAUCAUUAACCGAUUCGUCUCCUAAACUAGAAAACACGGGUGUGAACCAACGAAUUGAUCCCAUAACCCAUUAGAAGCAACGUAAUAGUUCAACAAUUGAAGACUUGAACUGCGUAGGGUUGGAUGGGUCCCCAUGCCAGAAGACAACAGGGAGCAAAGAAAAGAACAAAUAGAAGACGAUAAGGAAUACUUUAAGCAUCACAACGCAUCUUCCUUGUCGGAGAGAGAAAUAUUUGUUCGAAAUUUGGACAGAAAAUAGUUGGAAAUGAUAAAUUAACAGAGGAAAUUGAGAGAUUUAUAUAUUUACUAAAGAAAUUGGAUAAACAUCACGUAGAGAAAAUCUGCACGGAACAUGGAGCUAUGGAUUCGCUUUUCCAAAAUAUUUAGGGUUUGGAUUUGGGAAUGAAAUGGAGGUGGAAUGAACGGCAAACACGGAGAGAGAGAGAGAGAGCUAAAAGCAAAAGAUUUCUCCAACUUCCUGGUCAAAGCUUCAAUACCUAAUCAUUAUUCAUGCCGACCAUUCUGG